UUCCGGUUGAUCCUGCCGGACCCGACUGCUAUUUGGGUGAGGAUAAGCCAUGCGAGUUGAAUGGGAAACCUAAAAAUCCCAUGGCAAACUGCUCAGUAACACAUGAUCAACUUACCCUAUAGAGGAAAAUAACCUCGGGAAACUGAGGAUAAUGUUCCAUAGUUGAAUCGGCUUGGAAAAGUUUUUCAAUAAAAGGGAUAAGGAAAAUGGUCCUUAUCUGCUAUAGGAUAGGAUCGUGCUCGAUUAUGGUUGUUGGUGAGGUAAAGGCUCACCAAGCCGAUAAUCGAUAGGGGCCGUGAGAGCGGGAGCCCCGAGAUGGGUACUGAGACAACGACCCAGGCCUUACGAGGCGCAGCAGGCGCGAAACCUCCGCAAUACACGAAAGUGUGACGGGGUUACCCAAAGUGUUCAUUAGAACUGUGGUAGGUGAGUAAUGUUCCCUACUAGAAAGGAGAGGGCAAGGCUGGUGCCAGCCGCCGCGGUAAAACCAGCUCUUCAAGUGGUCGGGAUAAUUAUUGGGCUUAAAGUGUCCGUAGCCGGUUUAGCAAGUUCCUGGUAAAAUCGGGUAGCUUAACUAUCUAUAUGCUAGGAAUACUGCUAUACUAGAGGGCGGGAGAGGUCUGAGGUACUACAGGGGUAGGGGUGAAAUCUUAUAAUCCUUGUAGGACCACCAGUGGCGAAGGCGUCAGACUGGAACGCGCCUGACGGUGAGGGACGAAAGCCAGGGGAGCGAACCGGAUUAGAUACCCGGGUAGUCCUGGCCGUAAACGAUGCAUACUAGGUGAUGGCACGGCCAUGAGCCGUGUCAGUGCCGUAGGGAAACCGUUAAGUGUGCCGCCUGGGAAGUACGGUCGCAAGGCUAAAACUUAAAGGAAUUGGCGGGGGAGCACCACAAGGGGUGAAGCCUGCGGUUCAAUUGGAUUCAACGCCGGA
rnacentral:rRNA from 1 species